AAUUUACACAAAGAACUAAAAUCGUUUCGCCAUCAGCCUCGACUCGAUAUGAUACAAAUGAAGAAGAGAAAUUGCCUGAAACAAGUAUCAUCCACAGGAAGAGAGGGAAUUAUGCGUCUGAAAUUAAUCGUGAGCCCGCGUUAACACGUAGCUGAGGACAAUGAGACACGCGAAACACGCACAGAGGAAGAAGAGUACGAGAGUCGUCGAGAGAAGUAGCGGUAAUGCGAAACACCGGAAGAGGCGCGCUUGAACAUUUUACAGACGAAACGUGCCCGCCAGACCGACGAUCGACGAGCGGAGAGAAGAAAGAAAAAAAGGAAGGAUCGGCGGGGGUGUUUGGGUGGAAGGACUCAAGGAAUCGUCGCACGUAUCUGCCAGAGGAAGAUGAAACGGUAACGAGUGUAGUUCACGGUAACUAAAUAUUCGCAGGAUCGCAUCUGGGGGCCAACGGUGGAAAAAAGGAGGAGGGAGGCGAAUGCUUUCGUCGCGGCGCUAUUCGACGUCGCCAUGCUGUGUGUAUGCAAUCGUCGUCGCCGCUCGUGGAGACAAUUUAUUCUCACGGUUUCGCGCGCAAUUUGCCACGGGCACGUGUAACGAGGAUAACGAGAAUCAUCGAAUGAAAAGCCAACGUCGCGGCUGCAAAUUGCAUUUCACGCGACAUUUGCUAUAACACCUGCCGCGAAUAUUUCUACCCGUUGCCCUCCUCCCCUUUUUUUUCGGAUAUCGAGGCGAUCAAGCGUUCGAUACGUUGUUUAACUCGUCUCCUUCUCUUUCAAAUUAUCGUUCCUUCUGUGUGCAUCUUCUAUCGAUCUUUGUCCCGUUUUCCUUAACUGCUCGUUGGAUAAUCUUGCGGAGUCGUGACUAUUAGCAGAGGAAUAGUUGCUGAAUCAUCCAAGUUGUCGCUGCUGCAUCGUAACAGUCGCUUUUACGCAGUAUAAUAUAGGAACAAUUUGAAGAAGAUUGAAGAAAAUUUUUUGAUAUCAAUUUUUUUGCGUUAUGAAUUUUCAUCAAUGUGAUAAUUGUAAGUUGUUAACAAGAUGUAAAAAGGGAUUGUUGUUUAUUUCACGCAGCAACGCGUGAUUUAUCGUUCCUACUUUCUUCGAUUCCUGUUUCCACGACAAGCAUAAACGGUUUAAAUAAUUUGCAAAGCCUUUAACCUGUUUGAAUAACACGAGGGAUGAAAUUUUCAAUUAACUUUUAAUUAAAUUUUUCUAAUCGAUUAUCAUCGUUUGCACGCCACUACGAGGAGGAGGAACAAUUAACCAGAACAUUCCCAACAGCAGCAGCAAGUUAUUUCACUCGGUAUUCUUACCGAAGUAAAACGCGCGAUGAAAGAAAGAAAAGAAAGAAAGGAAAGAAAAAAAAAAAAAGAAAAAGAAAAAAAGAAAAGGAAGGAGGAGGGAACGAUUAAUGCUCGCGCCAAGUUUUUAUUGCGGAAUUCAAUUUCCAAAAUAAACAUUUGCGAAGAGAACAACUGUUGACAAGUCCAUUCUCGCGCGAGUUUCAACAUUUACGCCGAACGUUCCUCGACAUUUCGCCUCAUAUAUUUCGCCGUUUCCACCGUUUCAUCGGCAAUCGAUCGAUACUACGGCUAUUUUUCCUCCCAUUCCGAGUCAACUGCAUCGACACUCGCACGAAAAAACAAAUUAAAUCUCCUGGACAAGAAUUUUUCUUCGGUCGAAAAGAGAGAGAGAGAAAAAGAAGAAGAAAAAUAAACUUAAAUAAAAGAUAAAAAAGACAAUUAUAGACAAUAAAACAUUAUAGACAGAGAUACGUUGAGGCGAUUCGGUUCAUUCUUGAAAGAGCGUGUCGCGUAAAACCGGAAAAGAAAGUGGCUGCGACAAGGCUAUUCAAAUAUUUGAAUAGUUUUCUCUCGGUUGCGGAAGAGCUUUACGGUGAAAUUACCGUGUCCGAUUCUAGAUAUAAAAAAAGAUUCGUGAUUCGUAUCAUUUAACUACCAUUCGACGAAACAGGAUCGUAGAUUGAUCAAGAAAAAAAAAAAAAGAAAA